ensembl:lncRNA
GUAAUGUGUUGUUGAGCCAUCUGGAUUGGAUACAUGACUAACCAGGUUAAAGCCUCUAUAUGAACUUUCAGACUCUGGCCAGAGAGGUAGGAGAGCAUGGAAAUCUACUUGUUUUGUGGCUACUCAAGUGAAGAAAGAUAACAACUGUCUCUACAUUCUCCCAGGAGUAUCAAGGAUUAAAGAUGCUGUGAACAUUCUUUAAAGAGAGGUUAUAGUUUAUUGCAUAAAGAUAGCAUCAUCAUCUUUGGCAAUAGUUAAGUUUUAUUACUUAACACAAGAGAAGACUCUACACAUGGACAUCACCAGAUGGUCAAUACUGAAAUCAGAUUGAUUAUAUUCAUUGCAGCCAAAGAUGGAGAAGCUGUAUACAGUCAGCAAAAACAAGACUGGGAGCUGACUGUGGCUCAGAUCAUGAACUCCUUAUUGCCAAAUUCAGACUUAAAUUGAAGAAAGUAGGGAAAACUACUAGACCAUUCAGGUAUGACUUAAAUCAAAUCCCUUAGGAUUAUACAGUGGAAGUGACAAAUAAAUUCAAGGGAUUGGAUCUGAUAGAGUGCCUGAAGAACUGUGGACAGAGGUUCGUGACAAUGUACAGGAAGCAGUAAUCAAGACCAUCCCCAAGAAAAAUGCAAAAAGGCAAAAUGGCUGUCUGAGGAGGCCUUACAAAUAGCUGUAAAAAGAAGAGAAGCAAAAGGCAAAGGAGAAAAGGAAAGAUAUAUCCAUUUGAUUGCAGAGUUCCAAAGAAUAGCAAGGAGAGAUAAAAAAGCCUUCCUCAGUGAUCACUGCAAAGAAAUAGAGGAAAACAAUAGAAUGGGAAAGACUAGAGAUCUCUUCAAUAAAGUUAGAGAUGCCAAGGGAACAUUUCAUGCAAACAUGGGCACAAUAAAGGACAGAAAUGGUGUGGACCUAACAGAAGCAGAAGACAUUAAGAAGAGGUGGCAAGAAUACACAGAAGAACUAUACAAAAAAGAUCUUCAUGAUCCAGAUAACCACGAUGGUGUGAUCAUUCACCUAGAG